AAAAAGUCAAACCCUAGAUUUCCGUGUCCAACUUUAACGGUCCGUCUUAUAUGAAAUUUUUUUAUAAUUCGUAUUUUCAUUGUGGUUAGAUGAUAAAACAUGAUUAAUAUUUUAUGCGUGACUUGUCUUUUUAAUUUUCUUCAUUAUUUGAAACUAAUUUUUUCAAAUAAGACGGACAGUCAAACAUUAAGCACGGAAACCAGGGUUUGCUUUUUUU
rfam:Oryza glaberrima chromosome 6 Oglab06_0039_10, whole genome shotgun sequence.